UAUCCUCCUUUCGAACCUUGGACUUUCGCUUGCAUUGAGGUUAAGUGGCUGAAGGGAACACAUUUUUUUCUAAUUACAGGCCGUGGGACGUCCAGGUCUGGUUUACAGCUGGCGUCACCUGAGUGGAGGUCGACAUCAAACGAGGUGGACAAGUGCGGACAAGAUGGUCCAUCUGUGAAGGAGAGUGGAAGAACCGUACUGUAAAACUUUGGCCCGACAUGACGUGGACUCCAAACGCCCUCCGUGCUCACUCCCAGAUGUGCGACGUUGCCAUGGCAGCGGAGAAGGUCUGGAGUGUCCGAGCACACCUGGCUGCAAUCACCAGGCCGUACUGAUUGUUUGAACCUGUCAGGUGCUGCUUUCUCCACGUCUAUAGACCACGCCAACAUUCCUCCAUUUGCUUGCUCAGAGGUAUUUUCAGAUUGUUUCUUUGUAUUUUCAUCCGCAGUUCCUCUCCUGCAUUCCUACGGACAGUUUUCUUCGAUACUUUGUUUUCGUGUGAUUUUGUGGCUCAGGUUCUCUCGUCCAGUACCAUUGUUUGUUGUUUUGUCCUUAUUGUUUGGAUCGGGAGUCAGUAUAUUUUAAAACUGCCUUCUUUCUCUGAUUCUGGGGUGCAACCUUUUUAUCUGACCAUUCCACUUUCGAUUCUGCUUAACGGUUCUUAUUUUGGGAAAAAAGGAGAAAAAAAGGGGGAUUAGCCUCAAUUUUUUCAGUUUAGA